UACAUUUAGAUAAAGCUUUUACAGUUUUUUUUUUCCUCAUCUUUAUCCAGAAAGAAACUGGUACUUCUGUGUUGCUCAUGUGACAAGUUGCAUUGUUUAUUUCUUCAGCAGGAAACUUAUGUGUGGAAACGAAGGAUGUGAAGCUCCUAGCAGUGCUAAAAUCCCCCAGAACUUUCAGCUGUAGUGUGUGGAUUGUGACACAGCCACAUUUUGACAUUUGUUUCCAGGGCUGGAUAUGCUAAAACACAGUCCAGAAAUGAGGGAUCAAUCCAGGACAGCAGGAAGACGUGACCAGGGGGACAGGGCUCAGACCAGCAACUGCCAAGCAGGAGGAGAUUGUCCCUGGGGUGCGCAAAGAAGGAACCUCCAAGUUUUGGUGGAAACCCAGUGCAUACAGUUCAAGACGGGACAGCGGAAGAGGCUGCCUCACCUGCAAGGGAGAGACCCCCUUCAGCGGGUGGAACGAGCUGGGUGCCAGCAGGCCAUUUACAAACGGAGGAGGUAGUCUGCACUUUAACGUACAGGCGUCUCUACGUUUAGAUUAAAACGUAAGCUUGCUUA